rnacentral:rRNA from 1 species
CAGGAUGAACGCUGGCGGCGUGCCUAACACAUGCAAGUCGAACGAAGCACUUAGACAGAACCUUCGGGUGACGUAUGGUGACUGAGUGGCGGACGGGUGAGUAACGCGUGGGUAACCUGCCCUGUACAGGGGGAUAACAGUUAGAAAUGACUGCUAAUACCGCAUAAGCGCACGAUGGUAGCAUUACCAGGUGUGAAAAAACUCCGGUGGUACAGGAUGGGCCCGCGUCUGAUUAGCUUGUUGGCGGGGUAAGAGCCCACCAAGGCGACGAUCAGUAGCCGGUCUGAGAGGAUGAACGGCCACAUUGGAACUGAGACACGGUCCAAACUCCUACGGGAGGCAGCAGUGGGGAAUAUUGCACAAUGGGGGGAACCCUGAUGCAGCCAACGCCGCGUGAGUGAAGAAGUAUUUCGGUAUGUAAAGCUCUAUCAGCAGGGAAGAUAAUGACGGUACCUGACUAAGAAGCUCCGGCUAAAUACGUGCCAGCCGCGGC